UACGGGGGGGGGUAAGCGUUGUUCGGAAUUACUGGGCGUAAAGGGCUCGUAGGCGGCCAACUAAGUCAGACGUGAAAUCCCUCAGCUUAACUGGGGAACUGCGUCUGAUACUGGAUGGCUUGGAUUCGGGAGAGGAAUGCGGAAUUCCAGGUGUAGCGGUGAAAUGCGUAGAUAUCUGGAGGAACACCGGUGGCGAAGGCGGCAUUCUGGACCAACACUGACGCUGAUGAGCGAAAGCCAGGGGAGCAAACGGG
rnacentral:rRNA from 1 species